rnacentral:rRNA from 1 species
GAUGAACGCUAGCGGGAGGCCUAACACAUGCAAGCCGAGCGGUAUUGUUUCUUCGGAAAUGAGAGAGCGGCGUACGGGUGCGGAACACGUGUGCAACCUGCCUUUAUCUGGGGGAUAGCCUUUCGAAAGGAAGAUUAAUACUCCAUAACAUAUUGAUUGGCAUCAAUUAAUAUUGAAAGCUCCGGCGGAUAGAGAUGGGCACGCGCAAGAUUAGCUAGUUGGUGAGGUAACGGCUCACCAAGGCGAUGAUCUUUAGGGGGCCUGAGAGGGUGAUCCCCCACACUGGUACUGAGACACGGACCAGACUCCUACGGGAGGCAGCAGUGAGGAAUAUUGGUCAAUGGGUGCAAGCCUGAACCAGCCAUCCCGCGUGAAGGACGACUGCCCUAUGGGUUGUAAACUUCUUUUGUAUAGGGAUAAACCUACCCUCGUGAGGGUAGCUGAAGGUACUAUACGAAUAAGCACCGGCUAACUCCGUGCCAGCAGCCGCGGUAAUACGGAGGGUGCAAGCGUUAUCCGGAUUUAUUGGGUUUAAAGGGUCCGUAGGCGGACUUAUAAGUCAGUGGUGAAAGCCUGUCGCUUAACGAUAGAACUGCCAUUGAUACUGUAAGUCUUGAGUAUAUUUGAGGUAGCUGGAAUAAGUAGUGUAGCGGUGAAAUGCAUAGAUAUUACUUAGAACACCAAUUGCGAAGGCAGGUUACCAAGAUAUAACUGACGCUGAGGGACGAAAGCGUGGGGAGCGAACAGGAUUAGAUACCCUGGUAGUCCACGCCGUAAACGAUGCUAACUCGUUUUUGGGCUUUAGGGUUCAGAGACCAAGCGAAAGUGAUAAGUUAGCCACCUGGGGAGUACGCUCGCAAGAGUGAAGCUCAAAGGAAUUGACGGGGGCCCGCACAAGCGGUGGAUUAUGUGGUUUAAUUCGAUGAUACGCGAGGAACCUUACCAAGACUUAAAUGGGAAUUGACAGCUUUAGAAAUAGAGCUUUCUUCGGACAAUUUUCAAGGUGCUGCAUGGUUGUCGUCAGCUCGUGCCGUGAGGUGUUAGGUUAAGUCCUGCAACGAGCGCAACCCCUGUCACUAGUUGCCAUCAUUCAGUUGGGGACUCUAGUGAGACUGCCUACGCAAGUAGAGAGGAAGGUGGGGAUGACGUCAAAUCAUCACGGCCCUUACGUCUUGGGCCACACACGUAAUACAAUGGCCGGUACAGAGGGCAGCUACACAGCGAUGUGAUGCAAAUCUCGAAAGCCGGUCUCAGUUCGGAUUGGAGUCUGCAACUCGACUCUAUGAAGCUGGAAUCGCUAGUAAUCGCGCAUCAGCCAUGGCGCGGUGAAUACGUUCCCGGGCCU